GGAUAGGUGGCCGAGUGGUUAAGGGAUGGACUGCUAAUCCAUUGUGCUCUGCAUGCAUGGUUCGAAUCCAUCCUCA
rnacentral:tRNA from 1 species